UCGAACGAACUCUGGUAUUGAUUGGUGCUUGCAUCAUGAUUUACAUUUGAGUGAGUGGCGAACUGGUGAGUAACACGUGGGAAACCUGCCCAGAAGCGGGGGAUAACACCUGGAAACAGAUGCUAAUACCGCAUAACAACUUGGACCGCAUGGUCCGAGUUUGAAAGAUGGCUUCGGCUAUCACUUUUGGAUGGUCCCGCGGCGUAUUAGCUAGAUGGUGAGGUAACGGCUCACCAUGGCAAUGAUACGUAGCCGACCUGAGAGGGUAAUCGGCCACAUUGGGACUGAGACACGGCCCAAACUCCUACGGGAGGCAGCAGUAGGGAAUCUUCCACAAUGGACGAAAGUCUGAUGGAGCAACGCCGCGUGAGUGAAGAAGGGUUUCGGCUCGUAAAACUCUGUUGUUAAAGAAGAACAUAUCUGAGAGUAACUGUUCAGGUAUUGACGGUAUUUAACCAGAAAGCCACGGCUAACUACGUGCCAGCAGCCGCGGUAAUACGUAGGUGGCAAGCGUUGUCCGGAUUUAUUGGGCGUAAAGCGAGCGCAGGCGGUUUUUUAAGUCUGAUGUGAAAGCCUUCGGCUCAACCGAAGAAGUGCAUCGGAAACUGGGAAACUUGAGUGCAGAAGAGGACAGUGGAACUCCAUGUGUAGCGGUGAAAUGCGUAGAUAUAUGGAAGAACACCAGUGGCGAAGGCGGCUGUCUGGUCUGUAACUGACGCUGAGGCUCGAAAGUAUGGGUAGCAAACAGGAUUAGAUACCCUGGUAGUCCAUACCGUAAACGAUGAAUGCUAAGUGUUGGAGGGUUUCCGCCCUUCAGUGCUGCAGCUAACGCAUUAAGCAUUCCGCCUGGGGAGUACGGCCGCAAGGCUGAAACUCAAAGGAAUUGACGGGGGCCCGCACAAGCGGUGGAGCAUGUGGUUUAAUUCGAAGCUACGCGAAGAACCUUACCAGGUCUUGACAUACUAUGCAAAUCUAAGAGAUUAGACGUUCCCUUCGGGGACAUGGAUACAGGUGGUGCAUGGUUGUCGUCAGCUCGUGUCGUGAGAUGUUGGGUUAAGUCCCGCAACGAGCGCAACCCUUAUUAUCAGUUGCCAGCAUUAAGUUGGGCACUCUGGUGAGACUGCCGGUGACAAACCGGAGGAAGGUGGGGAUGACGUCAAAUCAUCAUGCCCCUUAUGACCUGGGCUACACACGUGCUACAAUGGAUGGUACAACGAGUUGCGAACUCGCGAGAGUAAGCUAAUCUCUUAAAGCCAUUCUCAGUUCGGAUUGUAGGCUGCAACUCGCCUACAUGAAGUCGGAAUCGCUAGUAAUCGCGGAUCAGCAUGCCGCGGUGAAUACGUUCCCGGGCCUUGUACACACCGCCCGUCACACCAUGAGAGUUUGUAACACCCAAAGUCGGUGGGGUAA
rnacentral:rRNA from 2 species